GACGAACGCUGGCGGCGUGCUUAACACAUGCAAGUCGAACGGAAAGGCCCUGCUUUUGUGGGGUGCUCGAGUGGCGAACGGGUGAGUAACACGUGAGUAACCUGCCCUUGACUUUGGGAUAACUUCAGGAAACUGGGGCUAAUACCGGAUAGGAGCUCCUGCUGCAUGGUGGGGGUUGGAAAGUUUCGGCGGGUGGGGAUGGACUCGCGGCUUAUCGGCUUGUUGGUGGGGUAGUGGCUUACCAAGGCUUUGACGGGUAGCCGGCCUGGGAGGGUGACCGGGCACAUUGGGACUGAGAUACGGCCCAGACUCCAACGGGAGGCAGCAGUGGGGAAUAUGGCACAAUGGGCGGAAGCCUGAUGCAGAAACGCCGCGGGCGGGAUGACGGCCUUCGGGUUGUAAACCGCUUUCGCCUGUGACGAAGCGUGAGUGACGGUAAUGGGUAAAGAAGCACCGGCUAACUACGUG
rnacentral:rRNA from 1 species